GCCGAGCUUUGUAACGCAAGCUUGUAACCCGAGUGGGGGCUUUGAGGUGCUGGAACAUUGGCUCAGUAUUAGCGGGUCGGGUUCAGGUUGGCUAUCUACUGGUCCCGCCCAUUCCAAGCCAGGAGUUGAACCCUGUGGCUCGAGCGAAGGCUCUGGGUCACUUGGUUUCUAGAGCGGAGGGAACCGCGCAAGGCUGGCUUCACAGAGCAACGACUACCUCCCGCUCUUGGCAGUGGAAGGAUAACGGGUCGGUGCUCGCUUGGAUCCAUCAUGGCUCGCUAGACUGUCCCAAUUGAACCAAAACCUUU
rnacentral:SRP_RNA from 2 species